rnacentral:rRNA from 1 species
UAGCCUACGGGACGCAGCAGUGGGGAAUAUUGCACAAUGGGGGAAACCCUGAUGCAGCGACGCCGCGUGAGUGAAGAAGUAUUUCGGUACGUAAAGCGCUAUCAGCAGGGAAGAAAAAAAGUCCUUUGGACUUUGGACGGUACCUGACCAAGAAGCCCCGGCUAACUACGUGCCAGCAGCCGCGGUAAUACGUAGGUGGCAAGCGUUAUCCGGAUUUAUUGGGUGUAAAGGGCGUGUAGGCGGGAGCGCAAGUCAGAUGUGAAAACUCAGGGCUCAACCCUGAGCCUGCAUUUGAAACUGUGUUU